rnacentral:rRNA from 1 species
CCUACGGGAGGCAGCAGUGGGGAAUAUUGGGCAAUGGGCGCAAGCCUGACCCAGCAACGUCGCGUGAAGGAAGACGGCUUUCGGGUUGUAAACUUCUUUUUAGGGGGAAGAGCAGAAGACGGUACCCCUUGAAUAAGCCACGGCUAACUACGUGACAGCAGCCGCGGUAAUACGUAGGUGGCAAGCGUUGCACGGAUUUACUGGGUGUAAAGGAAGUGCAGCCGGAGAGAUAAGUCAGAUGUGAAAUCCACGGGCUCAACCAGGGAACUGCGGUGGAACCUGUUUCCCUUGAGUGUCGGAGAGGUAAUCGGAAGUCGUGGUGUAGCGGUGAAAUGCUUAGAGAUCAUAAAGAACACCGAUUGCGAAGGCAGCUUACGAAGCUACUUCUGACGUUGAGGCACGAAGGCGUGGGGAGCAAACAGGAUUAGAUACCCGGGUAGUC